CCUACGGGUGGCAGCAGUGGGGAAUAUUGGGCAAUGGAGGCAACUCUGACCCAGCAACGCCGCGUGAAUGAUGAAGGUCUUCGGAUUGUAAAGUUCUUUUCUAAGGGAAGAAGAAAGUGACGGUACCUUAUGAAUAAGCCUCGGCUAACUACGUGCCAGCAGCUGCGGUAAUACGUAGGAGGCAAGCGUUAUCCGGAAUGACUUGGCGUAAAGGGUGCGUAGGUGGUUUGACAAGUUAGUAGCGCAACUCCGGAGCUCAACUUCGGAACUACUACUAAAACUGUUGGACUAGAGUGCAGGAGAGGCAAUCGGAAUUCCUAGUGUAGCGGUGGAAUGCGUAGAUAUUAGGAGGAACACCAGUGGCGAAGGCGGAUUGCUGGACUGUAACUGACACUGAGGCACGAAAGCGUGGGGAGCAAACAGGAUUAGAUACCCUAGUAGUC
rnacentral:rRNA from 1 species